AGAUUGAACGCUGGCGGCAUGCUUUACACAUGCAAGUCGAACGGCAGCACGGGGGCAACCCUGGUGGCGAGUGGCGAACGGGUGAGUAAUGCAUCGGAACGUAUCUUUAAGUGGGGGAUAACGCAUCGAAAGAUGCGCUAAUACCGCAUAAUCUCUGAGGAGAAAAGCAGGGGAUCGCAAGACCUUGCGCUUUUGGAGCGGCCGAUGUCUGAUUAGCUAGUUGGUGGGUAAAGGCUUACCAAGGCUUCGAUCAGUAGCUGGUCUGAG
rnacentral:rRNA from 1 species